AGAAAAUGCAGGAAAAGGAUGAAAACUGGGACAAACGCGACCUCCUCUCCUCUGGGCCUGGCAGAAAAGGGUUAAGAGAAGCGGUUGAAUGCUGCAAGCCUCGUCAGGGUUGUACUAUUUUUUCUAGUGCAUAAGGAGAAGGGAGAGGAGGGUUGCACGGAAAAGGGAAAUUUCCAAGAAAAGAGGGAUCUGCGGCAAUAUCUGCACCUCGGGGGAUGAAGAGAGGAACCAACAGGCAUAAAUGGCCUGGAGAUGGCUGAAAUCCUUGCCGAGGAGAUUGGGACCGCGGGGUUAUUUUCCACCUGCCUCCCCUGCCCGGUUCUGUAAUCCUGGCUCAAAGUAGACAAGUCGAGUUGGAGCUGAAGAAGGGAGGUUAGAGGGGUUUUUAUUUCAUUUGGGAGGGAAAAAAAAAANNNNNNNNNNNNNNNNNNNNAAAAAAAAAAAAAAAAAAAAAAAAGGCAAAAAAUGGGAGGCUGGUUGGCCCUCCCCGGGCUGAGCAUCUCCAUGGUGCGAGGCAAUGCAGGAUGAUCCAGGGGAGCGCUCGCCAGGAGCAGGGAUGCUGAGGACCCGGCGCCCACCGGGGACAUGAGCCUCAACAUCCCCACCAGAAAUUUCACCCAACGGAGUCGAAUUCCCACGGGGGCGAUGCCACACCUCCCGAGGACACUGGGGACAUCGGGUUUUGCUGAGCUUAGCAGCUUUUCACCGUCUUACCGAAGGCAUCAGACAGACGCUCAUCUGCCCUGAAGUGCAGAUCUGCAACAGCUCCCGGGAAGACUCUGUCUCUCUGUCUCUCUGUCUCUCUUUCUCUCUCUCUCCAGUCCAAACCAUUACAAGACCUGACUUCCACCAUCUGGGAAUCUAACCCCUCUUAUGCCCCUUCUCCUUUUUCUACGAUGACUCACCAUUAUUUUUAACUUUGAAGAGAGAGGAAAUUAUGGGGAUCUUGGAAGCCUCUAUUUCUCUCUAGGAUUUCCCCAGGGUCAGAUAAUCGGUGUUACUAAGAGACACUAAGAUUUGGCUUCUCCAGGUAAUGUGAUUUGUUUUCUGUGUGCCAUGGUGGUUUGCAGAGAAUGACAGGAGCCGGGACAGCAGCGCUCGAGGAGGGGGACUGCGGUGGUCCGCGGGGCAGCUGGAACCGCCGGCUCCACAUUCCGGCAGCCGCAGAGCUCGGCUGCAGGCAGGGAGGGCAGCAUGUCACCAGGGAAAGAGGAUUGGGAAGGUAUUAAACUUAAAAGCGGAGCUGGAGCUUUCCUGGAGGGUAGAUUGCCUGAGAUCGCAUGGUUAAAUGUUAAUUAACCCUUAGCUGCAUGCCUGGAAAUGAGCUGAGCCCGGCACCCCGUGGGGUCCUCUCGCCACUUCAGGGCUGGAUGGGGUUAUUUUUCUUCCUUCCUUUCUCUUCCCUUCCCCCUUUUUAUUUUUUUUAACUGCAUUUCUUUUUUUUUUUUUUUUUAGCCAAAAAAUAAGCCCUGGUUUAUCAAUGCCAGUUUUUCCACGCUGGUUUUGAACAGGUGAUGGUUCCUCAGGUGUUUUCUCUGUUCCACCUAAAGGGUUUAGAUGGGAGUUGUUGAACUCUGUCCCAAGGAAGGCAAAUUAACCCCUCCAGGAAGGGGAUAGACGAGCUAGAGAAGGGAUCUGCUCUCCUCCCACCAACUUUAUUCCAUCUCUCUCUUUCUCAGCAGGGGCGAUUUUCUUUCUUCUUCUUCUUCUUCUUCUUUUUUUUUUUCCUCUAUUUUUAUCUCAUCCC
rnacentral:lncRNA from 1 species